rnacentral:lncRNA from 13 species
UAUUAUAGCGCUUAUAAGGCUGAUCCAUAAUUGAAAGACUCGAUUAUGAUUUCGCAAUUCUUAUUUAACACGAACAUUGAAUGAUGCACACGUUAAUGAGAGCGCAUUAUCUCGAAACUCAGUUUCUCCGACUUCACGUAUUAUACUUGGAGUAAUGCGGAAAACUACGAAGUGCGAAAACCGUAACGACGAUAAACCGCGUGCGUAUCAAUGUUCUGUCGAGAAGAUUGCGACACGUACGGAGAACCUCAAACAGAGGUGACCGUUACUGCCAGCCAAGUAUAAAAUGAUACCGAGAGAUUGAAUGAUGACUGCGGUCGCAGCUGUGCAACGAGAAAGGAACCAAGUGCAAUUCUCGUGCAACAAACUGUUUGGAAAUUAACGCUUACGAAAGAUCGUCAUAGACUCAUCGCUGUCCAAUGUUUAAUUAUUGCGGUUUUAUGGCUACUGCAAUUUUAUUUUCAUGACAAGUUGUUACAACUCUGUUACAAAUAUUUUUACAAAAAGCAAUCACAUUAAGAAUUUAUGUGGAAUUUGAAUGUACGCAUCGGACAGAAAUCCAAGUAACACUUCUUUAAGCAAAUAAGAAAAUGUUGAUAAAUUAUAGAUUACGUCUUCGAUAAACGAUACUGGACAUUAAUAAAGAAACGAAAUUUUAUAUUAAAAUUAUUAAAUAUUCUAAUUUACUAUUUAAUUUCUGCAAAUCAUACCAAGCUUAAUUUACCGCAGAAUUUUCUAUAUCCUUGUUUCUGUGAAGAUGGCCAAAUUGAAGGAAAGAGGAGCGCAAGUGGGACAAGUAGCAGGAAUGAGCGAAAGAGGAAACCAGAAGCGAGGAAAGAGUAAGAGAGAAAGAAAAAAACCGUUACACCCCUCUUCCUCUGGUCUCCGUUACGUUACGCGGUUGGAAUCCUGACACUGCGUGACCAAGUGAUGCCAGGAUGAAUGACGAAGAAAAGGAAUAUUCUGGUGCGUGCAUAUCUUCCUGCAGAUCUUCACUUUCAUCAGCACGUUUCGCAAAGGACAUUUUUUUUUAAAUUAUCAACGCUCGUAAAUGAGCCUAGAAACGAAGGUAGUAACUCACGUACUUUUUACUUCCUCGUAGCGUGUAAUAACGAUUUUGCGUAUACGCUUUGUGUGAUUUGUUCGCGAGUAUGGAACCUUCGGCUCAUGUCGUUCGAAUAACUGGGAAAUUCCGACGAUCCCCGGAAUCGUUUGUCCCCAUAAUUGACGGAAGUCACGCAGCACGCGCGCAUGGAGGAUUGCCGUCGAAAAAUUCGCGCCCACGAAGCUUUUCCUGUUCCUCGAACUUGACACCGGUUCCUUGAAACCAGGACUUCGCCAGACCGCAAACAAACUACUGGAACUGGUUUCUGCGCGACGAGUAACGAAAAGGACGAUAAAAAUUCGGAUUUAAGUGGUUUCGCCAGACUGCUCAAUUAUCCGUAACAAUACGUUGGCAUUUUUGAGAACGCGUCCUUCAAAUCCCGAAAAUUCGAACACGCAAUGCAAAUUAAUAUAAAAUGUAUAACGUUACUAAAUUAUAUAUUAUAAUGUAAAAAAUGUUACACAUCAAAAUAUUUAAACAUUUAAAUAUCCGAAUUGCUUCCUCUAUUUUUCGAAAUUGUCGAAGUUGUAUUGUUAAUUUUAAUGUGACGUAUAAAUAUUAUUGAAACCAGAUAACCGAUACAGGUUUUAGUGCCGUCGCUGCAUCACCGUUCUGUAGGCACUGAACAAAAGAAGAAGCACGAUUAUACCGUUGCCCCAAGAAAUGAUCGAAGAACAAGACGACAUCCUCAAUCGACGACCUCGAUCCCUCGAUUUGCAUGAACGUCGAUUUGCAAUCAUACUCUGGUCCAAUGUUUGAUUUAAAUCCCUCCUUUUCUGUUUGUACUGUUUUCUUCUUAUAAAUUUAUAAACUCUAAAGUGUUUUCUCCAGUGUACUCAACUAAAGAUAAUAAUUGUUACGCAAAGCGUGCUAGAAUGGAAUAAAAACUGAAGA